UUUUGUAGAACGGUUUGGGUACUUCCCCUUACUUACAGGUAGAUGCUUCCGGUUUUCAGUGUAAGACACGUGUACACUAAGAUAUUGUACAGGCACAAACAUUGCUAUGUCAGAUUGUAAUCCAGCAGUGUUUUAGGAGCAGGAAUCAUGAAGAGCCUCGUGGAAUAACUGCUCUGGUGCACUGCAUGAAACAGAGGUAU